rnacentral:misc_RNA from 1 species
UACAGAGGUCUCGAGCGUUACGCGGAUUCAUUGGGCUUAAAGGGUGCGUAGGCGGAUUUGCAAGUGCCUUGUGAAAUCCCACAGCUUAACUGUGGAAUCGCUCGGUAGACUGCAAGUCUUGAGGUCGGUAGGGGCUGCCGGAACUCUAGGUGGAGCGGUGAAAUGCGUAGAUAUCUAGAGGAACGCCAAAGGUGAAGACAGGCAGCUGGGCCGAUUCUGACGCUGAGGCACGAAAGCGUGGGGAGCAAACGGG